rnacentral:rRNA from 1 species
GACAGAGGAGCCAAGCGUUGUCCGGAGUAACUGGGCGUAAAGCGCACGCAGGCGGUUCGGUGCGUGGGGUGUGAAAGCGCUGGGCUUAACUCAGCGAGGCCACCUCAUACGGCCGAUCUGGAGCCCUGCAGAGGUCCACGGAAUUGCCGGUGUAGUGGUGAAAUGCGUAGAGAUCGGCAGGAACACCCAGGGGGAAACCAGUGGACUGGGCAGGUGCUGACGCUGAUGUGCGAAAGCGUGGGGAGCGAACCGG